rnacentral:lncRNA from 1 species
AUGGGACGAGCCGGGAAUUCCGUGUGGGGAUGGUGGGAAUGCUCGUGGCUUCCCAGGGAAAUGGGGUGGUGGCCACAGAUGUCCCAGAGCAAGGGACAGCGUGUCCCAGGUGCCACGGUGUCUCCUGGGACACGGGAAGGGUUGUCCCCAUCCCUGUGGGACAAGGAAAAUUGUCCCCAGCCCCGUAGGACACAGAAGGGUUGUCCCCAAUCCUGUGGGACAAGGGAAAGUUUGUCCCCAAACAUCCUGGAACAGAGGAAGGGAUUGUCCCCAACCCCAUGGGACAGAGGAAGGGAUUGUCCCCAUCCCACAGGGACAGGGAAAUGUCCCCAUCCCCUGGUCCCUACUGCCCCCUCCCGUGCUCCUCCUUCUCCUCAUCAUUCUCAUCAUCAUCUUCAUCCUGCUCAUCCUGCUUCUCAUCCUCCUCAUCUUCCUCAUCCUCCUUCUCCUCAUCUUCCUCAUUGUCCUCAUAAUUCUCCUCCUCCUUCUCUUCAUCAUCUUAUCAUUCUCAUCAUCAUCAUCUUCAUCCUGCUCAUCCUGCUCAUCCUCAUGCUCCUCCUCCUCAUCUUCUUCAUCCUCCUUCUCCUCAUCCUCAUCCUCCUCAUCAUCAUCUUCAUCCUGCUCAUCCUGCUUCUCCUCAUCCUCCUCAUUCUCAUCCUCCUCGUCAUUCUCAUCUUCAUCCUCCUCAUUCACCUUGUCCUCAUCCUCCUCAUUCUUAUCUUCCUCACCCUCUUCAUCUUCCUCAUCCUCCUCAUCCUCAUCCUCCUUCUCCUUACCCUCCUCAUCCUCCUCAUCAUCCGCCUCAUCAUUGUCAUCAUCAUCAUCAUCUUCAUCAUCUUCAUCCUGCUCAUCCUGCUUCUCCUCAUCCUCCUUAUCCACCUCAUCCUCCUCAUCCUCCUCAUCCCGCUCAUCCUCCUCCUCAUCCUCAUCCUCUUCCUCCUCAUUCUCCUCCUCCUCAUCAUCAUCAUCUUCACCCUCCUUCUCCUCAUCCUUGCCCCCGGCUUUCCCCAAACCCAGCCACGCUCCCGACCCUUUCCCCCCGGGAAUUCCGGGCCGCAUGGCCAGGAGAAGCUCCGGGUGCAGCGAAAUUAA